rnacentral:pre_miRNA from 1 species
CACCUACUCCCUCCGUUCGGAAUUACUUGUCUCGAAUAUGGAUGUAUCUAGAACUAAAAUACGUCUACAUACAUCCAUUUUCGCGACAAGUAAUUCCGAACGGAGGGAGUACAAC